GCUUGGAGACAGGUGGUGCAUGGCGGUCGUCAGCUGGUGUCGUGAGAUGUUGGGUUAAGUCCCGCAAUGAGCGCAACCCUCACCCGUAGUUGCCACCGGGUAAAGCCGAGCACUCGAGGGGAACUGCCAGCGUCAAGUUGGAGGAAGGCGGGGAUGACGUCAAGUCAUCAUGCCCCUUACGCCCUGGGCUACACACGUGCUACAAUGGCCGGUACAAAGGGACGCGAGAUUGCAAAGUGGAGGUAAUCCCAAAAAACCGGUCUAAGUUCAGAUUGCAGUCUGCAACUCGACUGCAUGAAGGAGGAAUCGCUAGUAAUCGCGCAUCAGCACGGCGCGGUGAAUACGUUCCCGGGCCUUGUACACACCGCCAGUCACACCACGAAAGCUGUCUGUACUCGAAGUCGUGAG
rnacentral:rRNA from 1 species